rnacentral:rRNA from 1 species
AGUGAACGCUGGCGGCAGGCCUAACACAUGCAAGUCGAGCGGCAGCGGGUUCCCGCGAGGGGAUGCCGGCGAGCGGCGGACGGGUGAGGAACACAUCGGAAUCUGCCUGGUUGUGGGGGAUAACGUAGGGAAACUUACGCUAAUACCGCAUGAGACCCUGAGUCGACGGACUGGGGGUGAAAGUGAGGGACCUUCGGCCGUCACGCGACCAGAUGAGCCGAUGUCGGAUAGCUAGUUGGCGGGGUAACGGCCCGCCAAGGCGACGAUCCGUAGCUGGUCUGAGAGGAUGAUCAGCCACACUGGGACUGAGACACGGCCCAGACUCCUACGGGAGGCAGCAGUGGGGAAUCUUGGACAAUGGGCGCAAGCCUGAUCCAGCCAUG